rnacentral:rRNA from 1 species
UACGUAGGUGGCAAGCGUUGUCCGGAAUUAUUGGGCGUAAAGCGCGCGCAGGCGGUCCCUUAAGUCUGAUGUGAAAGCCCACGGCUCAACCGUGGAGGGUCAUUGGAAACUGGGGGACUUGAGUACAGAAGAGGAAAGCGGAAUUCCACGUGUAGCGGUGAAAUGCGUAGAGAUGUGGAGGAACACCAGUGGCGAAGGCGGCUUUCUGGUCUGUAACUGACGCUGAGGCGCGAAAGCUAGGGGAGCAAACAGG